UGGGUCAGAGCGUCCCACUCUCACCACCCCCUACCCCCCCCCAUUGCCCACCACUAACGGGAGUUUCAGUUUGCUUUCAGGGGAUCCGCACAGAUGUGUCCCGGGUUCGGAUGAGCUUUAAUUCGGGGACCCCUUAUCAACCCCAGCGUCUGCUGGGUGGUUCUAUGAGCCCUUUUGGGCCCACCGAUCCCAUAGCUCCCGCGCCACCCCCAGCUGUCCGCCUCGCCCCAAGGCAGCGCAGGAUCAGCCCUCGCUGCUCUUCAUUUACUUCUGUAGGGAGCUCUGUGCGCUCACACACACAAACGAAGGGAAAGCCAUCUCUCCCGCUCUCCCGUGGCUCUGCCUUUGUCCUGCUGCAGUGAACCUGCGAGUCAAUCCCUUUUGCUGCCGUGUCUGUUGCUAGGAGUACCGGAUCCUGUCCCUCUCUGGGCCCAAGCUUCAUCUGCUCCUCUCUUCCCGCUGAUGACUUUGGCGUGUUGGACUGGUGGACCUUGCAGUGAAUAACCACCAAACUCUUGGUUUGAUAAUUGCAUCAAGUAAUCCCAUAAUUUCUGCACUGUACUGUGUAGGAUUGCCUUGAGAUGAUAGUAACCUACUUUCUUCCCAUAUAGCUUCACACACACAACAGUGCCAGCAUCUGUAACGUCACACCAUUAAAGUAGCCACAUUUUGUCCUUAUCAUAAGUUGUUUGAGCUCUAAUUUGUUCAACAAAUCCCAUCCCAUGAGAGGUGAAGGGCAUUCUGGCAUAUGCAAAAACUCACCAGUUAAAAUCUAACUUCCACUUUCACAUCUAUUUGGUUGCAAAAAGGUUUAACCUCUUGCUUUCCCGUGGCCCCAGCUACCAGCGCAGAAUACUUCAGCACUUCCUUCAACACUUUACAACAGGAGAAGUAGCUCUGGUAUCUGCUAAGAAGACAAUAACUGAAUUCCCUGAGACCUCUAAAUGUUCCUCUUGUUCCUCAGCUUGUGGCUUGCAUUAUAGCAGCCUGGCUGCAUUCUGCUGCUGCUGGGUUUCUCUUUUCGUUCCUUUCCUACUUCCCCAUUGUUAUUUAUCCCAUAGAUCAUUUCACUCAAUCGUGAAGCAGACAUCCCCAAAAUCCCAUCAUCUUUCUGCAGUGUCUCCCAGAUUUCGGGGCUGACUGCCCAAUGAACAAUGCAUCCAACAACACAGUUUUAUUCCCUUCCCCUUCCAGGUGGAGCUCAGCCCAUAACGUGAUCAGCUCCUUGGCUGGGCCCUGUGUCACCUGCUGUGAUUUGGAGCAAUUCGGGUCCCCCUUGUUGUACCCCUUAUAUUAUUAAGUAUUGAUGCUGUUUCAUCAUUAGCCCCCAAGCUCCUUUCCACCAACUUACCUUUCCAUUUGAUAUCGUCACCCUUUUGUAACACAAAGAAAUCAACAUGCUGAAUUUCAUCCCACUCAGCUACACAACAACAGUGUGACAUGAAUUACAGAAUUGCAUUAUAAUUCCAAGUUCCCAUUUCAGUCCCCGUCACCCACUUCAUCCACUGCCCAGCACUGCAGACAAUAGCACCCACCUUCAAGGACAACUUUAGUCGUGUUGUGAUUAAGACUUCCUCUACUUAAUCACGUUGGCAGUUUUGAGGGUGGUUGUCCUGACCUGCAUAGAAGCACAAAUUGCUGUGUGUGAGGGUACACCUAUGAAGAGUUCUUGGCUGACAAUGCCAUAGGUUCCCCCCCUCAGCCUCCUCUUGGUCUUAACUUUAUUAAAAAAAGGCUUUCUUGUCUUGUUUCUACCACAGCAGUGGUUAAAACAAGUCAGCCAAUUAAUU